CCAAGAGAACAACCACCUGAAAGGUGAUGUGCAUGGGAACUGUUGAAUUAUGACCUGAACCUCUCAUUGACCACCUGAGGCAAGCACUGAGUCAACCACGGGAGCACAGGUGAAGGCAAUUCAGCUGUGUGACCAGAAGGGGUGGAGCCUGGCUGCACCUCUCCUAGACCCAAUUUAAGGGCUGACUGCCACUGAGGAAGGAUCUUUUCCUGGAGGCUGUUCCUUGUGGAGUUUUUGUAAGCCUACGAUACUGAUUAAUUGAUCAUCUGAAUGCGAAGAGGACUAGGUAAAAUUCUGUGCUGUUGGAUACCUUUGCCCUCAGCUGCACUCUGCCUGGUUCCAUGGCCUCAUCCAGAUGAUACACAUCAUUAGGUAUGAGAAGCUUGCAGCCAGCAUGGUCAGUAGGGCUCCUGUUGGCUGGCAUCCAUCACUAUGCGUUAUGAAGAUGGAAGAAGCUUCAGAACAAGCAAAACUUGAAUAGACACCAGCCUGCAGUCUGUAUUGGUGUCUUCGGCACAGCAAAGCCAGCUUCCCAGAGGAGAGCUGGACCCUUUCCAAGCCAGGCUUCAGUAACAUGGGAAAUGGAAGGAACAAUAAGAAAGAAAACAGUGCUGAGAGCAGACUGUAGAAUACAGAUCAUCAGAUAGUGUAGAUUCUGCUGGUACAUGGAUGUUAAUGGCUCAUCAGGACAUCGUCCUCCUCCAGACCCAGCCAGAACCAAAUGUUGCUUCUUUUACAGGUUCAACUCUAAAUUUGUGAUCACUUACAGAAUCACUCCUGAGGUACAACACAGAUUCAGCCUGCAAAAGAGACCUGGAAAUAGCACAAGAGGGAAGGAGACUGCCAAGGUCAUCGAACUGCAGAUCCCAACAACCGCAUCAGCUAACAGCCGCACUCAUCAAGAAGUGCAGACAGAAUGUGUUUCCCCAAACCUACACUGUUAAUGGUCAACACUGUCAACUUCUUGGAUGCAGAACUGUAUAGAGAAAGAGAAGAUCAAACCAAACAUCGCUUGAGAAUCUGGACCAUAAGGAACCACAACAGAAACUAAGACACGAAGAACCUCAACGCUUUUAAGGGACACUCCUCUAUAUGGCUGUCCAUUAACCCAAACUGAGAGGUCUCCUUUCUUAUAUGCUGGACACCAUCCAUUUCCUGUUCCUCAGGGUACUUGAAGGCUGAAGCAGCCCAAAUGAUGAUUUUUGCUGCCAGCUGGGGGCACUCAGCCCAGGCCUUGAGCUGGUUGUAGGUGACUGAAAUUUGAGCGCUACCAGGAGGAUCCUCCAUAAUUCCUCAUCCCAAACUGUGAACUGAAUUCAGUGUUCACCUCUGAACAGGGAUAAGAAAACCAGCCUGGAAAAUAAUACUCAUUUCAGUAAUGCUACCCACACUGCAUCCAACCUGAGAGUCUGAACAUCAGCAUCCAUGUGUUGACUGGUGGGACCUGCACUUGGGAUGUUGUGCAAACCCCAGACAGAUUGUGACAGAAGACUAGCAUACUUCAGAAACAUUUCUGCUGGUCCAGAUAGAAGUAGAAGCAGCUGGCAGAGACUCCGUGACAGAAAAGAACAGCACGUUAGGCAAUGCAGUGGAAAGUUGCUUCACCUCUCCUGUAAGAAAGGGAAACCCAUUUUCUGUCAAGAUUAGAGAGAAUGUGCUCUCUGAAGGUGAGGACCUGCUGCAUUUGGUGCAGCUCCCCAGGGGCUGGAAG
ensembl:lncRNA